CGGAUGGGUGACAAGUAAGAACGUAAACGAAGGAGUUUGUAAAGUGUGAAGCAACUCCUUGCGUGAGGGAACCGUGAGAGACCGGAAUCUUAUAAUUUGAGUUCCUUGGUGAAAACUGCAGAACCACAGCUAAUGAUUGCUGAAGAGAGGCUUGACACUUCCCUCAGCUCAGGCAAGAGAAACAAGAGAAAAAAUAAACAAAUGGGACUGCAUCAAACUGAAAAGCUGCUGCACAGCAAAGGAAGCCAUCAACAAAACGAAAAGACAACCUAACAAUUGGGAGAAUGUAUUUGCAAAUGAUACAUCUGAUAAUGGAUUAAUAUCCAAAAAAUAUAGAGAACUCAUACAAGUCAACAACAAAGUAGAAAACCUUUAAAGGAGCCACAGAAAAAUGAUGCAUUACAUACAGAAGAACAAUAAUACAAAUGAAGGCAUUACUGCUCAUCAGAAACGAUGGAGAUCAGAAAACAUUGCAGUAGCACCUUUAAGGUGAUAAAAAAAAAUUUUUAACUCAUAAUCUUGAAUUCUAUAUCCAGUAAAAUUAUCUUCCAAAGAAUAUGAAAAAAUAAAGAUAUUUUCAGGCAAAUGAAAGCUGAGGAAACUCAUUUCAAGCAGAGUGCCCUACAAAAAAUACUAAAGGAUAUUUUUCAGCCUGAAUUGAAAUGAUACACGAUGGAAAUUGUGAUUUAUAGGAAGAAGACUAGUAAGCAGAAAUGGAAAAUCAAUGUGUAGAUACAAAAAGCUAUUUUUUAUUCUCUUCUAAUUUUCUUUAAAAGAAUGUAAUGCUUUGAAAAAUAAUAUAAGGCCAUGUUUUUGAAGCAUGUACAAAUAAAAAUAUGGAAACGGAGCAUAAAGGUAAAGGACAAGAGAGAUGCAGUAAAUGGAAAUACUCUUUCCUGACUGCAAAAUCUGACAUGAAAUUUGAAGUUUGAAAUGUUAGGUGUGAAGUGAGAAGUGGAAUGUUUUAUAAAUAGAAUCCACUAUUGUAAGGCUAUUACAUUUGUGAAGUGUGAGGUGGGAAAUGUCAGGUGUGAAAGGGGUUUAGGUAGUAGGCAGCUUCACAGAUUAGGAGUGAAAAUUGAAGUGGCACAAUAUUGAUGCUAAAUAGACAUUGUUAAAAUAAUAAUAAGGAGGAAUAUUGUUAGAUUUACAGCAACCAGUCAAAAAUAAAAGAAGUAUAUCUAAGAAAAGAUAAUAUAAAUAGCUACGAAUAAAAAUAUAUCCGUGUCAGGUGUUUCAUACAGUGGAUCAUGAAAAUGGCAUUUUCCUAAUAAGAAAAGUGAUAUGUUGGUAUUAUCAAAGUUUGGAAAUUUUCAAUGUAAAGAAGGAAUAAUUCUACCACCCUAAGAAUUUCCUCUCAAUAUUCCAAUGCUAUAUACGGGCCUGUGUGUAUACAUAUACAUAUAUAACUUUUGCUUACAUAUUUAGAACAAUAGAGUAUAUAUAAUUUACAUUGUUUUUAUAUUUAUAUCAUAAAUUUACUUUGUCUAAAAUCUCUGCAAAUAUGAAUUUUAAUGAUUUGUCAUAUGUCUUUACUAUGUUGGACAAUUCCCCUUCAUCUGGAACACUAUUAAUAAAAAUACUUCUAUCGUA